AUUGAACGCUGGCGGCAUGCCUUACACAUGCAAGUCGAGCGCGAAAGGGGGCAACCCCGAGUAGAGCGGCGGACGGGUGAGUAACGCAUCGGAACGUGCCCAGUAGUGGGGGACAACCUCGAGAAAUCGAGGCUAAUACCGCAUACGACCCACGGGUGAAAGCGGGGGACCGCAAGGCCUCGCGCUAUUGGAGCGGCCGAUGUCCGAUUAGCUAGUUGGCGGGGUAAGAGCCCACCAAGGCGACGAUCGGUAGCUGGUCUGAGAGGACGACCAGCCACACUGGGACUGAGACACGGCCCAGACUCCUACGGGAGGCAGCAGUGGGGAAUUUUGGACAAUGGGGGCAACCCUGAUCCAGCCAUGCCGCGUGCGGGAAGAAGGCCU
rnacentral:rRNA from 1 species